UUUUCAAACUACCGUUUUUAUGAAAAACACAAUUCACCCCCCUCUUGUGUGUGGAGUCAAAUAUCCAUCAAGUAUGACUUGAAUCACAAUUUAAAAGUCUUGAACAAUAUAUUUUUAAGUUUGAUUCGAAUCACAAUUUUAUCGGUUAAAGCUCUUGAUUCUUGGAUAUGCAAUUUGGUUUUUUCAGUUUUGAGUCCAUGGUGAGUACAUUUGCUGCUGAAAACUUAUACUCACUUUAUGGAUAUUGGGCAUGCUUAGAUCGUGAUCCUCCUUUAUUGUUCCCAAUAUUUUUGUGGCUCAUGGUCGGUGUAAUUUGAAAUGACCGGAGAAGGAUCAAAGAAGAGAGCACUAAUGAACAAGAAACCAUAAGAUGACUAAAACUUUCACUAUUUGGUUUUUUUAACAAUUUAACAUCUUUUAAUCCAUUUUUGUUAAUGUUAAUUGUGUAAAAAAGAGUUGUUGAUAGGUUAUGUCGGACACGACAUAUGACACACGAGGCUCUAGCCGUAAACACAUCUUGCAUGAAGCAUGACACAAGGAACAAAAGCACCACUUCUAGCAAGUAUGAAAGAACACAAGCACCACCUAUUGGAGAAUGAGGAUCAAUUAAGUGACAUUGAUCUUUGGUUAGAUGGACGAGCUAAUUCGUACUAGAUUGUGAUGAUGUACCUGUUUUUCUUAUUUUGGUUUAUUAGAUUAUGAUUUGAACUUUAGUUAUGCAAAUCGUUGUCCACUUGCUCUGUCAUUGUUAGUUUUCUUGUUUCUUUGAAUAUUGUGGAAUACAUGUAUAGAAUCUAAUUUCCGCAUAUUAUGUAUUGAUGACAACAAUCAAAGUAUGUUUUUACCUCAUAA